rnacentral:rRNA from 1 species
GGGUUGUGAGGUUAAGCGACUAAGCGUACACGGUGGAUGCCCUGGCAGUCAGAGGCGAUGAAGGACGUGCUAAUCUGCGAUAAGCGUCGGUAAGGUGAUAUGAACCGUUAUAACCGGCGAUUUCCGAAUGGGGAAACCCAGUGUGUUUCGACACACUAUCAUUAACUGAAUCCAUAGGUUAAUGAGGCGAACCGGGGGAACUGAAACAUCUAAGUACCCCGAGGAAAAGAAAUCAACCGAGAUUCCCCCAGUAGCGGCGAGCGAACGGGGAGSAGCCCAGAGCCUGAAUCAGUGUGUGUGUUAGUGGAAGCGUCUGGAAAGGCGCGCGAUACAGGGUGACAGCCCCGUACACAAAAAUGCACAUGCUGUGAGCUCGAUGAGUAGGGCGGGACACGUSGUAUCCUGUCUGAAUAUGGGGGGACCAUCCUCCAAGGCUAAAUACUCCUGACUGACCGAUAGUGAACCAGUACCGUGAGGGAAAGGCGAAAAGAACCCCGGCGAGGGGAGUGAAAAAGAACCUGAAACCGUGUACGUACAAGCAGUGGGAGCACAGAGCAAUCUGUGUGACUGCGUACCUUUUGUAUAAUGGGUCAGCGACUUAUAUUCUGUAGCAAGGUUAACCGAAUAGGGGAGCCGAAGGGAAACCGAGUCUUAACUGGGCGUUAAGUUGCAGGGUAUAGACCCGAAACCCGGUGAUCUAGCCAUGGGCAGGUUGAAGGUUGGGUAACACUAACUGGAGGACCGAACCGACUAAUGUUGAAAAAUUAGCGGAUGACUUGUGGCUGGGGGUGAAAGGCCAAUCAAACCGGGAGAUAGCUGGUUCUCCCCGAAAGCUAUUUAGGUAGCGCCUCGUGAAUUCAU